ensembl:lncRNA
GGAGAUCCCACAGGACAUCUCCUUCCAAAAGAAACCAGGCAAUGCAUGAUUGAGGAGGAGUGGACCCAGCCCCAGACAGUCUGCUACAGAACAGUCAAGGAUGUCUCUGAUUGAGAAUCAGCGGACAAAGGGACGGGGCAGUGAAGCCCUCUGAGCAUCGAAUCCACACCCCUCUUAGCAAGGAAGACCUAUAAACCUUCUGUGGGGGAUUUUUGCUGACCCUAUUUCAUCAAACUGCUUCCAGAGAGAAUGGAAGAACAAGAUCUGGACAUUCAAAUUAACUCAGGCAGCCUGACAAGACAGCUCAAAGACCUCAAAUGAGAAGCCUGAAAUGUCAGAACUCUAGAGUGUUUGUCAUUCUUUAGAUUCAUCUUCUACUCCACAGCUAUGCCUCUAAAGGGAGAAUGCUGAAGCAGGCUCUGCUUUUCCAUCCCAUAGAGGAAACUGAGACCUGGAGAAGAUGAGUAAUUUGCCCAGGCUCUCUGCCUUGCAGUAGCAGGGCCAGAAGUCUCUUGGAGUUUCAGAAACACCCUGAGCUAACUGGAGUUCAGACCCAGGUUCUGCCACUUAGACCGACUUGAGCAGCAUCGGCAGUCUGCGGCUAGUGGUCCUGCUCUUCCCUUGUAACAGUGAAUAAUGAGGCCUGCCUUGCAGGAUUAUUCCAUCCUGAGGACUGGAUCACAACAGGGUAAUACAGGAAAGUGUACACACAUCAGAUAAACAGAAAUAAUCAUUCCCUUCUUCUGGUCCCAGAGUGGAAACAGCAGAGACAAUUUUGUGAAGAUGAUAAAACUUUGUUUUUUAAAAAAUCAAUCUGAAAGUAAAG